GACCCAGAAAAUGGAAAUUAUGAAACACUUCAAUCUGAAUUUAAGCAACAGUCUGUACAUUCAGGUUUUAACUUUGUUCCUUCAACUUGGGUUAGUGGCUCUGGCAACCCUCUGGGAGCUCAGCAGAAGUAUAUGAAGGAAAAACAUGGACCAAUUAGGGAAGAGCAUUCUGAUAAUAUUCAGUUUCAGGAUAGCCGGUUGAAUGACAUUUAUGCUGAAGAAAGGAUGGCAAGUUCCAGGUUCUCAUCCAGUGCUCAUAGUAGUUCUAUGAGAAGUAAAACCUCCUCUGAGAGUUCUUGGGAUGGGUCUUCCGCUAAAAGCUCAAAGUCAACAAGGGAAAGGCGGGGAAAGAAAACAGGUGCUUCAGAGCCAACUACUGGUUAUGGAAAAGGUAAAAUGAUGUCUGACCAUGUUUCAGAUCAAGCUGAGGAGGAUGAUCAGGAUUGGAAUUCUGUUUCAAAUGCGGGUACUGAAAUGGCUGAGAGAAACCAAGGACCUCACUCUGUUAUUUCCAUGCACCUUGCAAGGCAUGUGCCUGAACAUGAAAUUGCUCAGACUAGUGACUCGGACACAAUGAUACCCAUUACACCAAUGCUUAUUGGGCCUGGUUCUCGGCAAAGAAC
rnacentral:misc_RNA from 1 species